UCCGAAUUGGUGUAGUGGCUAACAUUUGACGCUCUCAUCAUCGUUUGUUCCCAAACUUUGAAAAGUGCCGUCAAGCCCGGGGUUCGAUUCCCCGAUUCGGAG